AUUGAAACAUUAGUACUCGAACGAUCACCGAAGUUAAGCAACGUCGAGCCUGGUCUGUACUUAGAUGCGUGACCGCUUGGAAAUACCAGGUGGUGUU